rfam:Felis catus isolate Cinnamon breed Abyssinian chromosome F1, whole genome shotgun sequence.
GUCUGGGCCCAUACCACCCUGAGUGUGCCGGAUCUCAUCAGAUCUUGGAAGCUAAGCAGGGUCGGGCCUGGUUCGUACUCGCACAAGAGACCACGCGGUUGAAUAUA